UUCUUCUCUAAUUUCUCUUUAUUUUUUCUAUUCUUACAUUGCAGGUUCCCAAGUUAUCCUCCAGGGGAGAUCAAGUACAAUGCAUGAAGAAGACAUGAUAUGCAUGUGAACCAGCUCAAGUAAAUAAAUUUCUCAUCGAAUCGGCACAAUACAUGCUCUUCAUCUUGGUGUUUGGUGGCCUGAAAGUUCAUCAUAUUGUCAUUACCAGCAGUGUAGUUGUAGCUCAACCUCAAUUUUUGAUUCCUGAAUAGCAUCGUAGUAGUUGUAGUAGCUCUAAUCUUUUUAUUUGGUCAGUACAACUAUGGAGGCAAGCAGGCAAUCACAUGUAUGGUAGUAGUUUUGAAACUUUGUUAAUGCUUAGAAUUUAGAUAGGUGAAAUACGUUUAUAUA